rnacentral:rRNA from 1 species
CCUACGGGAGGCUGCAGUGGGGAAUAUUGGACAAUGGGCGAAAGCCUGAUCCAGCCAUGCCGCGUGUGUGAAGAAGGCCUUCGGGUUGUAAAGCACUUUCAGUGGGGAAGAAAGCCUUGGGGCUAAUACCCUCGAGGAAGGACAUCACCCACAGAAGAAGCACCGGCUAACUCCGUGCCAGCAGCCGCGGUAAUACGGAGGGUGCGAGCGUUAAUCGGAAUUACUGGGCGUAAAGCGCGCGUAGGCGGUCUGAUAAGCCGGUUGUGAAAGCCCCGGGCUCAACCUGGGAACGGCAUCCGGAACUGUCAGGCUAGAGUGCAGGAGAGGAAGGUAGAAUUCCCGGUGUAGCGGUGAAAUGCGUAGAGAUCGGGAGGAAUACCAGUGGCGAAGGCGGCCUUCUGGACUGACACUGACGCUGAGGUGCGAAAGCGUGGGUAGCAAACAGGAUUAGAUACCGAGUAGUC